AAUAUGUCUCAAUCUGCACUCCUCUUCCCUCUCUAAAGCUUCUGGGUUCGGGACACAGCCCAGAAAUAUAUUAAUUAAAGCGCACAGACUUUUUAGCACUGGGGAAGAAGUGGCUGGAUCAAGUCAAGCUCUGUCAACGAUGGAUGGAUGAAGAUUCACGGCAGGAAAAAGGGGAAAAAAAGCGAUCAAUGUCUGCAGCGCUCUCUCAUUCACCCUGAACUGGCGGUGAACUCCUGCGGAACGCCGCCAGCCUCUCCACCCUAUCCCAUCGCAGUCCGGGGUCAACGGGGGGGCGUCUCUGUGCCAAUAUGCAGAUGAGCCUGUGCCCCUCCAAUGACUCUGGUGUGAAGCUCCACCCCUCUAUAUGGUGGAGAGCCCCCCACUCCACCCACCUACCCCACCUGACGACACUCACAGAGACAUAAACCCACUCCCACACUGGCUUAAAUAGGCAUUUAACAGCUUACGUCCGCUCUUCCUUUAAUAGCCAAAGUGUGUCGAACCUAAUGGAUGUUGUCAAAGCUGAGAUGUGACCACUGAUUUAGAGGACGAAGCCCAAUGACCAGGCUUCACUAGCCCUUAAAGACUGGGAGAGAUAGAAAGAGACAGAGAGAGAGGGAAUUACCUCAGCAAAGACACAAAUCAAAAUAAUAUCUUUAAAAGAGUGGGGAUCGAUGAGGUGUCAUCUGAAUGUAUCUUGUGUGUAAAGUGAACCCAUAAACAGCCAAUGAGAACUACUUUAUCCUCAAUUUUAGUCCCUUAGUGAAAAAGUACUUCAUCUGAUAAGCAGAUUUUUUAUGAGCAAUUGAUUUCAUGUAUUGUUAAAACAAGAUAUCACAGGCACUUCCAUUUUAUUAGUUUAAUUACAACUUGUGUCAUGUAUUUAAUUGAUCAAACUUUGAAAAUAAAGUACCCUGUGUAUUUGUGUGUGUACUUUCAUGCAUUCACUGUGAACCAAUUAAGUUGCCUGUGCUAAUUUUAACAAGAUCAUUGUAAUUGCAUUAAUUUAAUAAAGUUUAUUGUAAAUGCAA